CGAGCACGCGCGUGUGGCAUAUCAAUAAGCGGAGGAAAGAGGGUACCUACGCUUAGGAUGUUGAAGAUGUAGCACAUCAUACACGCAUGACACACUGCAUAUCAAUAAGCGGAGGAAAAGAAACUAACAUAGGAUUCCCUCGUAACGGCGAGUGAAGCGGGAAGAGCUCAAAUUUGAAAUCUUCAAGGUUCUACCUUGACGAAUUGUAGUUUAAAGAAGUGUUUUCUGUUGAGGUUUUGGUAAAAGUUCUUUGGAAUAGGACAUCAUAGAGGGUGAGAAUCCCGUAUUUGACCUUUACUUUCAACUUUGUGAUACACUUUCAAAGAGUCGGAUUGUUUGGGAAUGCAGUCCAAAAUGGGUGGUAAAUUUCAUCUAAAGCUAAAUAUUGGCGAGAGACCGAUAGCGAACAAGUACCGUGAGGGAAAGAUGAAAAGAACUUUGAAAAGAGAGUUAAACAGUACGUGAAAUUGUCAAAAGGGAAGCGUUUGACACCAGUGUUGUUUUUCCGAAAAUCAAUUAGCGAAUGUUUUAUUUUUGAGAAGUUAUGACUUCAUCGGCUUGCUUCUCUCUUUACGAAACUUUCUUAUGCACUUUUCGGUUAACAAGUCAACAUCAAUUUCUUUUGUUGUAAAAGGGUACGAGGAAGGUGGCUUUCUUUUCGGAGAAAGUGUUUAUAGCCUUGUACCUCUGCAAUCGGAGAGAUUGAGGUCUGCAGCGUAGAUCCUUCGGGGUUAGAUACAUUUGUGCUAAGUUAUAGCUUUUCAUAGACAACUUGUUGACUAUGUUUAGUCUUGUAGCUUACUCGCUGACGCUAUUUUACCUACGCUUAGGAUGUUGAAGAUGUAGCACAUCAU
rnacentral:rRNA from 1 species